AGACACAGACAAAAACGAAGACAAACAUGUACACUAAAUAUCAGUGUUUUGAUAAGGCGACACAUCCGCCGGGCGAUGCUAGCGCCAGUGUCCCAGCGGCGGCCGAGGAAGCAAGUCACGUCGCUCGCCUCGUGUUCUGAGGCAAGCAACUCGGAUUCACAAACUCGACUUAAGGAGCGCCGACUUAAGGAGCCCUGAGUCCACGAAGCCACUCCCAAGGGUCGCUCGUGCACCUUAGGAUCUUUUAUCGUCCUGCCAAUCAUUUUUAUCCUUUCGUCUUCUUUAUAAGUCCGUUUCAUCAGAAGAGAUAAUUUUGGCAUCAUAAUACUUGUCUAUAUUACCGCUAUAUUCGAUACCUUCAUCAAUUCACUAUCAUUAUUAUAUUCAAUUAUUAUAGUGAAGUCACUACAAGUUUUCUCAUCACAGCAGUUAGAAUCUUGUGACCUCAUCCUUAUCAUUAUCUUUUACAUCGCAAAGGCACCUUCACUAUAACUACACCUAACCUAACUUAACCACAUCACCAUAUCAUCACUAUAAGGACUCCGAUCACCACAGAUCACCAUCAUUUCAAGUCUGUCCAUCGCCACGGUACCACUUCCUGCACCAUGAAAUAGUGACCUCUCAUCACCCUAUCUCACAAGCUGGAACACCGAAACACCAUAUUCUGUUUAGCUUGUAUUGAAGUUUGCUAGUUUGACCUAUGACCCCUAGCACAUAUAUUUCCUUGUCAUUAUUCAUUACUUACUUGUAUUGAAGUUCAUCAGCUCAGUUAACCAAAAGAGACUCUCUCUCUCUCUCUCUCUCUCUCUCUCUCUCUCUCUCUCUCUCUCUCUCUCUCUCUCUCUCUCUCUUCUCUCUCUCUCUCUCUCUCUCUCUCUCUCUCUCUCUCUCACUCUCUCUCUCCCUUUCCCUUUCUCCUCCCUUCCUCCCUUCCUCCCUCACUCACUAAACUCACUCACUCCAUAUCUACAUAAGAGUCGGAAUCAGUCAUAAGAAACACAUAAAUGUACCUCAUGAAUCCCUUCCCAACAUAGCCAGUCCAUCCCCACACUUUCGUAAAAAUAGUAAACAGCGAGAUAGAUAGAUAGAAGGAUAGAGAAGAUGGCCCUAAACAGGAAUUUGGUCCUUUUUCUGUCCUUCACGUGUGUGGCGACCCUGCUGAUUGGGUUGAAGGAAUUCAAUUAAAAGCAAAAACGGG